UCCGGUUAUUGCAUCAAGAGUAAAUGAAAAGCAGUGAAAUGCUAUUUAAAGAGCAACAAAUGAACAAGCUUAUAUAAAAAUAGCCACCUUCGCGGCAAAUUAUUCAAAAAAUAAAAAAAACUAAAACCCUAGUUUCCUAAGGGUCUCCUGCAGGUUCGCCUUCUUGACGGAGAGCUCUUUCUGGAGCAACACCCCCUGAUGAAGUGAAGCCUCUGCAAUUUCCAAGGCUGGCCUGGAAGCUGCAACCAUGCUUUGCACAAGGAAGGUAGCCUUGGUCUUGGAACUCAAUCCAGCCCCAAGCCUGCUCUGCACCUCCCUGCACUCCGCCAGUUGUUUUUGGAGCUCUUCAAUUUGCUUCUCCAGCUUGUCUGCCGUAGCCUUGGCUUCCUUGUAUCCUGCCACCAUCUGGUCCAGUUCUGCUUUCUGCUUUGCAAAAUCAGCCAGGUUGGCUUCAUGAGUGGCCUUGCAGAACUCAGAAGUCUUGAAGGUGGGCCUAAGAUCCUCAUAACGAUCAUGCAAGAUGAGCACAUCUCUG
rnacentral:lncRNA from 1 species